AGAGUUUGAUCCUGGCUCAGGAUGAACGCUAGCGGCAGGCUUAACACAUGCAAGUCGAGGGGCAGCGGGGUGUAGCAAUACACUGCCGGCGACCGGCGCACGGGUGCGUAACGCGUAUGCAACCUACCAAUAACAGGGGCAUAACACUGAGAAAUUGGUACUAAUUCCCCAUAACAUUCGAAGAGGCAUCUCUUUGGGUUGAAAACUCCGGUGGUAUGGUGGGCAUGCGUUGUAUUAGCUAGUUGUGGGG
rnacentral:rRNA from 1 species